rnacentral:lncRNA from 1 species
CCCUCGCGAGCUUGAUUACUGUCCGUUUUCGACUUCCCCCUCUUCAUCACGGCCUACUGUAGCUAAGUCUAAUUAAACAUAUUUUAGGGUUUAGUAUUAAAUGCACGACAACCAAACUUGACGAGUUUUUCCUAGCUAAACAGGUCAUCAAAGGCAAUGAAUCAUACGAGGAACAUAAAAGAAAUGCUGAACAUACCAACUGGAAGCAGCAACAGAAAUGUGUCUACUAGCGGCUACUCCAGUUUCACAGACUCUCAGGUAUUCUUUGGGUCUCAGUUUUGGCCUGAAAAUUCUCAAGGCAUGUCUCAAGAUAUGAGUUUGUCAGCCAGGACAUCCCAACAAAGUUCACAAGAGGGAAGUGAGCCCAAAGUUUUCAAGCAGUUAUCACACUAA